UACGUAGGGUGCGAGCGUUGUCCGGAAUUAUUGGGCGUAAAGAGCUCGUUAGGCGGCUUGUCACGUCGGGUGUGAAAGACCGGGGCUUAACUCCGGUUCUGCAUUCGAUACGGGCUAGCUAGAGUGUGGUAGGGGAGAUCGGAAUUCCUGGUGUAGCGGUGAAAUGCGCAGAUAUCAGGAGGAACACCGGUGGCGAAGGCGGAUCUCUGGGCCAUUACUGACGCUGAGGAGCGAAAGCGUGGGGAGCGAACAGG
rnacentral:rRNA from 1 species